rnacentral:rRNA from 1 species
AUUGAACGCUGGCGGCAGGCUUAACACAUGCAAGUCGAGCGGGGUGAUGGUGCUUGCACUAUCACUUAGCGGCGGACGGGUGAGUAAUGCUUAGGAAUCUGCCUAUUAGUGGGGGACAACAUCUCGAAAGGGAUGCUAAUACCGCAUACGUCCUACGGGAGAAAGCAGGGGAUCACUUGUGACCUUGUGCUAAUAGAUGACCCCAAGGCGGAUUAGCUAGUUGGUGGGGUAAAGGCCUACUAAGGCGACGAUCUGUAGCGGGUCUGAGAGGAUGAUCCGCCACACUGGGACUGAGACACGGCCCAGACUCCUACGGGAGGCAGCAGUGGGGAAUAUUGGACAAUGGGGGGAACCCUGAUCCAGCCAUGCCGCGUGUGUGAAGAAGGCCUUAUGGUUGUAAAGCACUUUAAGCGAGGAGGAGGCUCUUUUGGUUAAUACCCAAGAUGAGUGGACGUUACUCGCAGAAUAAGCACCGGCUAACUCUGUGCCAGCAGCCGCGGUAA